rnacentral:tRNA from 1 species
GGUCCAGUGGUGUAGCGGUUAACAUGCCUGCCUGUCACGUAGGAGAUCGCGGGUUCGAUUCCCGUCUGGACCGCCA